UACGAAGGGGGCUAGCGUUGUUCGGAUUUACUGGGCGUAAAGCGCACGUAGGCGGAUCGUUAAGUCGGGGGUGAAAUCCUGGAGCUCAACUCCAGAACUGCCUUUGAUACUGGAGAGCUUGAGUCCGGGAGAGGUGAGUGGAACUGCGAGUGUAGAGGUGAAAUUCGUAGAUAUUCGCAAGAACACCAGUGGCGAAGGCGGCUCACUGGCCCGGUACUGACGCUGAGGUGCGAAAGCGUGGGGAGCAAACAGGG
rnacentral:rRNA from 1 species